rnacentral:lncRNA from 1 species
AAUGCUUCGUAGAUUGACUUUCCUGAUCUUCUUCUCUUACCUACAAUCUCUCCUUUUCGUGUAUGCGUAUCCACCAAAUGAAACAAUAUGCACGCUAAUAUGCACUUAUGUAGUGGUCCAUUCAUCUAAGAAUUGGAGGUAUCAGGAAAAUAGCACAUUAUACAUGCGUUGUAUGCUGUGUAGAGUAGUCAAAGCCAAUUGCCGGUAGAUGCACUGCCAUAGACCAUGACUAGUAU